GUGGGCUCCGAGGUAGGGAGGUUGCGUGUUGAGAAGGGAUCAGUCCCUUUAAGCAAGAUGCCGUGCUUGGUGGCCUGUGCGGUCCUACCCGGAUCAGAUACCCUGGCAUGGACACUUACUUGCCCAGAAGUGUCCCGUGGCAGAAUCAGGUCCUUUAUUGCCUCACUUCAGACCCAGGCCUCUUAACCUGUUUUUCUGGGCAAACCUUCUGGUGACCCUAACAGGGAUUCGCCAUGCUCAGUGCGCUGACCAGAAGUAGAAAAAUAGGGAUAACUGGGUGGUACACCUUACUCAGAGCUCUUGAAGACGCUGACCAAUGGGGAAGCUAUUCGUAUUCAGGUCUGAGAGUGUGAAGCAGUAAGGCAAGUGGCCCAGCAAGCAGGUCAGAGGUCAGUCAGAGGUCAAUCAGGCACCUGAAACCUGUGAAUCCAAGUGAGCAUCUCUCUGCCUCUGUAGUAGAUUGUCACAGCCGUAGCCGUCCCCCCACCCCAUGAACUACCCCUUAGUAUUCACUCCUUGGGAAGUCCCCUCCCCUUGAUACUACAGUGGCAUUGUGACUGGCCUUUGCCAAUAAGAUAGAGUGGAAGUACAUUGUGCCAGUUGCAGCCCUAAGCCUUAAGAAGCUACGCAGGUUUGGCACUCGGGGCAGCCUGGUGCCACCAUGUAGAGGUUCAGCUACCCUGACGUGAAAAGUCCCUUGCAGAGGCCACGGCAGAAAGGGGGAACCCCAGCCUCCAACUGACCCACUGCCUGAAUGCAGCCACAGGAUCAUAAGUAAGACCAGCAGAAGAACCGCCCAGCUGAUCCCAGCAGAGUGCAGCGUGGGUGACUAGUCAUCUCAGAUUGCCUGAGAAUGAAGGUGUUUCCCGGACACAGGACUUCCAGUCCUAAAGCCAGAAAAGUCCUGGGCAAACCUGGAUGAGUCGUUCACCCUUCUUCCAACAUCCCAAGUAAAUAGGAGUUUACUUCAGAGGGAGCGUCACCUGUCCCUUAACCUUACCCAUAUUUAUAAAGAAAGGAGAAGAGAUACAGACACUCACAGAGGUCAUGUGCAGACAGACAGAGGGAAGAUGGAAGCAGAGAUUGAAAUAAUGCAGCCACACGCCAGAAACACGGAGGACCACCAGCAAAAUCACAGAAGCCUGGAGAUGGAGCUUGGCCCCAUUCACACCUUGGUGGUGGACUUCUAGCCUCCAGAACAAGAGAACACAUUUCUGUGGAUUCAGACCACCCAGAUUGUGUUUCUUUUGUAGGGCAGGCCUAGAAAACGAAUACAGGAUCCAACCUUUUGCUUCCUACCAGAGAGCAUCUGGGAAAAAUUUAUCCCCCAGUCCACAAAACUGACAAACAGAUUUCCAAAGACAAGAUUUUCAUUAGCUCCAACAGUCUGUUCAUCUGUUGCUUUCUUCUGAAACAAUGUAUUUUUAUAAGCAUAUGAUUUGUCCUUAUUUUCUGUCUGAAUUUAGUAGAAAAAAACAGGAGCUUUUGAGGG